rnacentral:rRNA from 1 species
CCUACGGGAGGCAGCAGUGAGGAAUAUUGGUCAAUGGACGAGAGUCUGAACCAGCCAAGUAGCGUGAAGGAUGACUGCCCUAUGGGUUGUAAACUUCUUUUAUAAGGGAAUAAAGUGUUCCACGUGUGGGUUUUUGUAUGUACCAUAUGAAUAAGGAUCGGCUAACUCCGUGCCAGCAGCCGCGGUAAUACGGAGGAUCCGAGCGUUAUCCGGAUUUAUUGGGUUUAAAGGGAGCGUAGGUGGAUUGUUAAGUCAGUUGUGAAAGUUUGCGGCUCAACCGUAAAAUUGCAUUUGAAACUGGCAGUCUUGAGUACAGUAGAGGUGGGCGGAAUUCGUGGUGUAGCGGUGAAAUGCUUAGAUAUCACGAAGAACUCCGAGUGCGAAGGCAGCUCACUGGACUGCAACUGACAUUGAGGCUCGAAAGUGUGGGUAUCAAACAGGAUUAGAUACCCCUGUAGUC